GAUGAACGCUGGCGGCGUGCCUAAUACAUGCAAGUCGAGCGAACAGACGAGGAGCUUGCUCCUCUGACGUUAGCGGCGGACGGGUGAGUAACACGUGGAUAACCUACCUAUAAGACUGGGAUAACUUCGGGAAACCGGAGCUAAUACCGGAUAAUAUAUUGAACCGCAUGGUUCAAUAGUGAAAGACGGUUUUGCUGUCACUUAUAGAUGGAUCCGCGCCGCAUUAGCUAGUUGGUAAGGUAACGGCUUACCAAGGCAACGAUGCGUAGCCGACCUGAGAGGGUGGUCGGCCACACCGGAACUGAGACCCGGUCCCGACUCCUACGGGAGGCAGCAGUAGGGAAUCUUCCGCAAUGGGCGAAAGCCUGACGGAGCAACGCCGGGUGAGUGAUGAAGGUCUUCCGAUCGUAAAACUCUGUUAUUAGGGAAGAACAAAUGUGUAAGUAACUAUGCACGUCUUGACGGUACCUAAUCAGAAAGCCACGGCUAACUACGUG
rnacentral:rRNA from 1 species